rnacentral:pre_miRNA from 1 species
GGCUCUGAUAUUGUCCUGUCACAGCAGUACUAUUUCCAGAUACUGCUGGUGCGGGACAUAACCAGAGCU